rnacentral:rRNA from 1 species
UUGCUCCCGGAACAGUGGCGGACGGGUGAGUAACACGUGAGCAACCUGCCCCUGUCAGGGGGACAACCCGCCGAAAGGCGGGCUAAACCCGCGUACAUGCCACCGGGGCAUCCCGGAGGCAGGAAAGGCUUCGGCCGGACAGAGAUGGGCAUGCGGCGCAUUAGGCAGUAGGCGGGGUAACGGCCCACCUAACCGACGAUGCGUGGGGGUUCUGAGAGGAAGGUCCCCCACACUGGUACUGAGACACGGACCAGACUCCUACGGGAGGCAGCAG